rnacentral:rRNA from 1 species
GACGAACGCUGGCGGCGUGCUUAACACAUGCCAGUCGAACGGAAAGGCCUCUUUCGGGGGGUACUCGAGUGGCGAACGGGUGAGUAACACGUGAGUAACCUGCCCUUGACUUUGGGAUAACUUCAGGAAACUGGGGCUAAUACCGGAUAGGAGCUCCUGCUGCAUGGUGGGGGUUGGAAAGUUUCGGCGGUUGGGGAUGGACUCGCGGCUUAUCAGCUUGUUGGUGGGGUAGUGGCUUACCAAGGCUUUGACGGGUAGCCGGCCUGAGAGGGUGACCGGCCACAUUGGGACUGAGAUACGGCCCAGACUCCGACGGGAGGCAGCAGUGGGGAAUAUUGCACAAUGGGUGGAAGCCUGAUGCAGCAACGCCGUGUGCGGGAUGACGGCCUUCGGGUUGUAAACCGCUUUCGCUCAUGACGAAGCUUUGUGUGACGGUAGUGGGUAAAGAAGCACCGGCUAACUACGUG